CUCAUGAAAAGUAUUCGUUGACUCCAGCCCUGAAAGCAAGACUUUGCCUGCGAAACAUUCAAAUAAGAGCCAUGUCUCUCGAUUCUCUCCUUCAAGAAUUGGUCUUUAACUCUUCUGUUUUUUGAAUUUUUGCCUUCCCUUCACUACUCUAAAAAGAACCAACUAUCUGGUUGAAGCAUUUUUGGCGCCCUUGUAGGAUUUCUUGUUUCUGGGUUUCUUUUUAUCCUACUUCACUUUCCCUUCUCCUCCUCUUGGCUCAAUCUUACCAAAGAACACUUGAAGCCUGCUAACAGAACUCGAAUUCUCGGUGCAAAUUUUCGACAGAGCUUGUGAUUCUCGGUAGCUGAUUCUUUUGUAUCCUCUGUAGUGAUUCACAGUGUUAGGCUUUCUGGCUAACUGGGUUCUCUCCAUAUGCUCGGUUUUACGUCAUUUGAGUUGUUGGUGAUUCAGUUGUGAAAAUACUACAUGAGAAAGUUAGAGACACAGUAAUAUGAAAACAGACAGAGGAUACUUUCCAACUUAAUGGAGAGUGACACUGCUGUUGUGGAACUUCCUUAUUACUGUACCAUUAAGGUGCAUCGUUUAAUCUGCUUAAAGCUAAAGAGUUAUAUUGAUAGAAUAUCUCAGAUAUUUUCUGCCAUUGAAUCUGCUCGACCACGAUGUGGAACAGGAAUGCAGGCACUGUGCUCAUUACACCAUGCGAUGGAUAAAGCCAAGCUUCUUAUCCAGAACUGCACUGAGUCUAGUAAAUUAUACUUGGCAAUUACAGCAGAUAAAAUAGUUUUGAGAUGUGAAAGAAUAUGCAACUGUUUGGAGUCGAGUUUAAGACAAAUUCAAAAUAAUGUUCCAACAUUGUUGGCUGCAAAGAUAUCUGGUAUUGUUGAAGACCUUAAGGGUGCAAAAUUUACUGUGGAAUCUGCUGAUGAUGAGGCUGGAAGGGUUGUUCUAGCAUUGGUUCGGCAGGGCAUGCCUGACUCUGAAUCUAUAAAUAUUUCUGAACUUGAAGCUAUUCAAAUCGCUGCUUCAAGGCUGAAUAUUGCAUCCCAUAUGGCACUCUUGAUUGAGAAAAGGUCUAUAAAGAGGCUAAUUGACAAAGUUCCUGACACAAACCUAACAAAGAUGAAAAUCUUGAAGUACCUCCUAUAUCUUCUGAGGAAGUAUGGAGAUUCAAUAAGGGGCCGCAAUACUGAGAGCACUACUAUGUAUCAGUCCAUUGAGCAAGAACCACAUGAAGAAAGUGCAAUAUAUGAAACUCUAGCUGAUGACUUCAGUGUAACCAAACCUCCUGAGGAAUUCAAAUGUCCCAUCUCUAUGAGACUGAUGUAUGAUCCUGUUGUUAUAGCUUCUGGGCAAACAUAUGAAAGAUUCUGGAUAACUAAGUGGUUCAAUGAUGGGAAUGAUACAUGUCCAAAGACACAUGAAAAGUUGUCUCAGUUUUUCCUCACUCCAAACUCCACAAUGAAGAACCUCAUUUCGAGGUGGUGCUUGAAGCAUGGGAUCAGUAUUUCUGAUCCAUGUUCACAACAAGCUCCUGAAUCCCUUCCUUUGCAGAAACUUUCACCAUCCAGUUCCAUUGCUAGCUUUGCCAGUUCUCUGAAUGGUCUGUGCCUGCAAACCAGCAGUGUGUCAUUACACUCUACAGACACCAAUUUUCCUUCAAAUAAAUUGGACAUAAGGAUGGAUAAUGGCUCUGCACACGAGCUUCCUCAGAUGAAUGCUGAUUCUCAGGGAUGCCAAUCUUCUGCAAAUAGGCAUGGCAUGAAUUUUGCCUUUCUCUCCAAACUUGCUGCACUUCCAUGGGAAUCCCAGUGCAAGGAGAUUGGAAACGUAAGAGAUCAACUGAAAGACAGUAUUCAAGCAUGUCAUUCUACAUUUUCCUCUAGUUACAUCAAACCGCUGAUUAGAUUUUUGAAGGAUGCAUGUGAAAAUGGCAAUUUACAAGCACAGCGAGAUGGAGCUCUAGUUCUUUUGUAUUUUCUAAAUAAACGCAGAAGUGAAAUGCCACCCUUACAUGAAGAUGCAAUUUAUGUUUUAGCAUCAUUUCUGGACUCAGAAAUCACUGAAGAAGCGCUUGCAAUCAUGGAAGUGUUGUCUUGCCAACGUCAUUAUAAGUCAGAAAUUGUGGCAUCUGGUGUUCUUCCUUCCAUCAUAAAAUUCCUUGACACCAAAAUGAAGAAAUUCCAUGUGCUUGCUCUGAAAAUACUCUGCAAUUUGUCCUCAAACCAUGAUAUGGGAUACCACAUUGUCUAUUUGGAUUGCAUCCCAAAGCUGGCUCCAUUCUUUGUUGAUCACAAACUUGCAGGAUAUUGCAUUAAAAUUUUCAGAAACUUGUGUGAUAUCGAGGAGGUUAGGAUUACAGUGGCUGAGACCAAUCAAUGCAUUGAUUUCAUUGCUAAAAUACUAGAAAAUGCCAGUGAGGAGGAGCAAGAAGAUGCCUUGGAAGUUGUUCUUUCUCAAUGUCAUUACAGGGAGGAGUAUGGUCAGCUUUUCAGGGAAGAUCACAUUGUUCAAUCAUUGUUCCAUAUCUCUCUCAAUGGGAAUGCCAGAGGACAGGAGAUUGCUAAGGAAUUACUCCAGCUUUUGAGAAAUAUUAAAAAUGACCCCGUUCUAGAAUGUUCAAGUUCUAGUUCUACCUCCGAUGAAGUCAUACAAGAUUUUGUUAUCAACUCCAAAGGAAAGAAACUGCCGUUGAAGGCAUCUAGAAUUCUGGGAAAGAAAAUAUUAAGAUUCAGAAAACCAAGAAGCUAGUGUUGCUUUGACCCUUUGGUGACUUCAAAACUAUCUCAACUGUUCCACAUUGCUUGAUGGGACUCUGGGGAUGAGCUUUCCACCAUUAGUCAUUACAUGAAUCAUAUAUUGUGACUGGCUAUAUGUAUGAUCCCAACAAUGUGUUCCUGCCCUUUUUGUACUUAACAGAUCAGGAAGCUGGAGUAGCUCAGUUGGUUAGAGCGUGUGGCUGUUAACCACAAGGUCGAAGGUUCAAGCCCUUCCUCUAGCGUUUUCCGGUCUGGCUGGCUCAGUUGGCUUGCUAUGACUUUGUACAUAUAUAAAGGACAGUGAUAUUGAGAAAGAAAGGUGUAGGUCAGUGAUUUAGAUUUUGAUUAUAAAUCAAUUUUAUUUUUUUUA